UUUCUAGGGAUCUGAUUGAGAUGGACCUAGGCCCCUCUCACAUUUCUCUGAUUUAAUGUUGGGCUGUGAAAGGGUAAUCGAUUAAUUGUCAAUAAGAGAUGAGAUCGAUUAAAGCUGUCGAUGGUCAGGACCUAGGAAAACUCCUGCUGAAGUGACUGAGAUCAACGCGACACUAUUAUUAAGAUGGAGUUUAUUAAAGAGGAGCGUGAAGACCUGAUGAUUGAAGAAACCUUGAGAGUCAAACAUGAAGCGACUGAGACGCACACUAUUAUAAAGAUGGAGUUUAUUAAAGAGGAGAGAAAAAACAUGAAGUUUGAAGAAACAUUCAAACAUGAAGAGACAGAGGAACAAACAGACAUGAAGUCGCUGAAAGAGGAGAGUCAUGAUCUGAAUCAAACAGAUUUCAUAACCAGAGAAAAUCUUUCUUUGAAAAAAGAGCUCAGAAGACUGGAGCUAGAAAAUGUUUCACCUGCCAACAGUGUGGAAGGAGUUUCUCUCAGAAAGCAAAUCUGAAGGCUCACAUGAAUAUUCACACUGGAGAGAAGCCGUUCACAUGUGAUCAGUGUGGAAAGAGCUUCACACAUCAAGGAACCCUUUAUACCCACAAGAGCCUUCACAGCGGAGGAAAGACGUACACCUGCAAACCGUGUGGAAAAACAAUGACUCUAAAGGGAAAUCUUCAGACACACAUGAGAACUCACACCGGAGAGAAGCCGUUCGCUUGUGAUCAGUGUGAAAAGAGUUUCACUCGUAAAGAAAGUCUUAAUAAUCACAUGCGUAUUCACUCGAGAGAGAGCUGCUGUGUAUGUCAUCAGUGUGGACAGAGCUUCACCGACAGUAAUCACCUUAAGAAGCACAUAAUGACUCACACUGGAGAGAAACCGUCAUGGGCCAGCACUGUGGAAUGAGCUGCACAAACAACACUAACCUCGAGGAUCACAUGAGAGUUCACACCAGCGAGAGGACGUACACGUGCAAACAGUGUGGAAAGAGAAUAAAGGAUCCCGUUACAGCCACAUGAGGACUCACAAUAACCUUUGUGUUUUGUUACUUUUGAUAUGAAACAAAGUCUGUUUCACAUUCUGCCCAUUUUAUUACAGAAUUCAAACAAUAAAUGCUGUUUUAAUGUGGA